GCAGGUCGAGCGGUAACAGAAAGUACGCUUGCUACUUUGCUGACGAGCGGCGGACGGGUGAGUAAUGCUUGGGAACAUGCCUUGAGGUGGGGGACAACAGUUGGAAACGACUGCUAAUACCGCAUAAUGUCUACGGACCAAAGGGGGCUUCGGCUCUCGCCUUUAGAUUGGCCCAAGUGGGAUUAGCUAGUUGGUGAGGUAAUGGCUCACCAAGGCGACGAUCCCUAGCUGGUUUGAGAGGAUGAUCAGCCACACUGGGACUGAGACACGGCCCAGACUCCUACGGGAGGCAGCAGUGGGGAAUAUUGCACAAUGGGCGCAAGCCUGAUGCAGCCAUGCCGCGUGUGUGAAGAAGGCCUUCGGGUUGUAAAGCACUUUCAGUCAGGAGGAAAGGUUAGUAGUUAAUACCUGCUAGCUGUGACGUUACUGACAGAAGAAGCACCGGCUAACUCCGUGCCAGCAGCCGCGGUAAUACGGAGGGUGCGAGCGUUAAUCGGAAUUACUGGGCGUAAAGCGUACGCAGGCGGUUUGUUAAGCGAGAUGUGAAAGCCCCGGGCUCAACCUGGGAACUGCAUUUCGAACUGGCAAACUAGAGUGUGAUAGAGGGUGGUAGAAUUUCAGGUGUAGCGGUGAAAUGCGUAGAGAUCUGAAGGAAUACCGAUGGCGAAGGCAGCCACCUGGGUCAACACUGACGCUCAUGUACGAAAGCGUGGGGGAGCAAACAGGAUUAGAUACCCUGGUAGUCCACGCCGUAAACGAUGUCUACUAGAAGCUCGGAACCUCGGUUCUGUUUUUCAAAGCUAACGCAUUAAGUGACCGCCUGGGGAGUACGGCCGCAAGGUUAAACUCAAAUGAAUUGACGGGGCCCGCACAAGCGGUGGAGCAUGUGCUUUAUUUCGAUGCACGCGUAGAACCUAACCUACCGUGACAUACGGAGAACUUACUAGAGAAGGUUUGGUGCUUCGGGACUCCGGAACCAGAGCUGCAU
rnacentral:rRNA from 1 species